GACGAACGCUGGCGGCGUGCUUAACACAUGCAAGUCGAACGGAAAGGCCCUGCUUUUGUGGGGUGCUCGAGUGGCGAACGGGUGAGUAACACGUGAGUAACCUGCCCUUGACUUUGGGAUAACUUCAGGAAACUGGGGCUAAUACCGGAUAGGAGCUCCUGCUGCAUGGUGGGGGUUGGAAAGUUUCGGCGGUUGGGGAUGGACUCGCGGCUUAUCAGCUUGUUGGUGGGGUAGUGGCUUACCAAGGCUUUGACGGGUAGCCGGCCUGAGAGGGUGACCGGCCACAUUGGGACUGAGAUACGGCCCAGACUCCUACGGGAGGCAGCAGUGGGGAAUAUUGCACAAUGGGCGGAAGCCUGAUGCAGCAACGCCGCGUGCGGGAUGACGGCCUUCGGGUUGUAAACCGCUUUCGCCUGUGACGAAGCGUGAGUGACGGUAAUGGGUAAAGAAGCACCGGCUAACUACGUGCCAGCAGCCGCGGUGAUACGUAGGGUGCGAGCGUUGUCCGGAUUUAUUGGGCGUAAAGGGCUCGUAGGUGGUUGAUCGCGUCGGAAGUGUAAUCUUGGGGCUUAACCCUGAGCGUGCUUUCGAUACGGGUUGACUUGAGGAAGGUAGGGGAGAAUGGAAUUCCUGGUGGAGCGGUGGAAUGCGCAGAUAUCAGGAGGAACACCAGUGGCGAAGGCGGUUCUCUGGGCCUUUCCUGACGCUGAGGAGCGAAAGCGUGGGGAGCGAACAGGCUUAGAUACCCUGGUAGUCCACGCUGUAAACGGUGGGUACUAGGUGUGGGGUCCAUUCCACGGGUUCCGUGCCGUAGCUAACGCUUUAAGUACCCCGCCUGGGGAGUACGGCCGCAAGGCUAAAACUCAAAGGAAUUGACGGGGCCCCGCACAAGCGGCGGAGCAUGCGGAUUAAUUCGAUGCAACGCGUAGAACCUUACCUGGGUUUGACAUGGAUCGGGAGUGCUCAGAGAUGGGUGUGCCUCUUUUGGGGUCGGUUCACAGGUGGUGCAUGGCUGUCGUCAGCUCGUGUCGUGAGAUGUUGGGUUAAGUCCCGCAACGAGCGCAACCCUUGUUCACUGUUGCCAGCACGUUAUGGUGGGGACUCAGUGGAGACCGCCGGGGUCAACUCGGAGGAAGGUGGGGAUGACGUCAAGUCAUCAUGCCCCUUAUGUCCAGGGCUUCACGCAUGCUACAAUGGCUGGUACAGAGAGUGGCGAGCCUGUGAGGGUGAGCGAAUCUCGGAAAGCCGGUCUCAGUUCGGAUUGGGGUCUGCAACUCGACCUCAUGAAGUCAGAGUCGCUAGUAAUCGCAGAUCAGCAACGCUGCGGGCUAGUGAGGCCGGGGCU
rnacentral:rRNA from 1 species